rnacentral:rRNA from 1 species
GACGAACGCUGGCGGCGUGCUUAACACAUGCAAGUCGAACGGUGAAGCGCCUUCCUUUUUGGUGGGUGCGGAUGAGUGGCGAACGGGUGAGUAACACGUGAGUAACCUGCCCCCUUCUUCUGGAUAACCGCAUGAAAGUGUGGCUAAUACGGGAUAUUCUGGGUCUGUCGCAUGAUGGGUCUGGGAAAGAUAUUGUUUCGGUGGGGGAUGGGCUCGCGGCCUAUCAGCUUGUUGGUGGGGUGAUGGCCUACCAAGGCGGUGACGGGUAGCCGGCCUGAGAGGGUUGACGGUCACACUGGGACUGAGACACGGCCCAGACUCCUACGGGAGGCAGCAGUGGGGAAUAGUGCACAAUGGGCGCAAGCCUGAUGCAGCGACGCCGCGUGAGGGAUGGAGGCCUGCGGGUUGUGAACCUCUUUCGCCAGUGAAGCAGGCCUGCCUCGUUUGUGGGUGGGUUGACGGUAGCUGGAUAAGAAGCGCCGGCUAACUACGUG